UCCUGCAAAGUAACCUACUUUGGCUUUGAAGUGAUCAUUUAUCUGAGUGACUAGGUGGAGCCACUGGCAUUGCAGCAAUUUAACUGUGCUCAGAAAGGGAUGGGAAAAAAUUCUGAUGUCUGCAUAGACAAGAAGGAGUUAAUGCUUGUCGAGCAUUAUUCUUAUACAAAUUAAGUCCAGAGCACAGCAGCAGCCUCACCAGCAGGAGCAGAUGCUAGGCAGUGAUGCAACCUGUGUUAUUUACUUAGGCCUCUGUAGUGACCUCAGUGGCUUGCAGACAAAGGACACACAUAUCUGGAGGAACGUUUAGAAGCCAUGAUGCGCCGGUCCCUCGAACGCAGCCAGCAGCUGGAACAGAAGCAGAAGCGAUGGUCGUGGGGAGGAGCACUGGCUGCAGGCUCAGGAGGCAGAGAUGGUGAAUCAGAAAAUACCCCACCCCCUGUUCUAGGUUUAGCUGCCAACACCCUUCCUCCAGACCCUGUGACCUCUACUGCUCCUGCUGAUUCCUUCAAUGCAUGUGACAAACUUUCAGCUUCUACAAUGAAUCUGCCCAAGCAAAUGGAGUCGCCGAUCAGUAAACGCCUCUCGUCCUCCACAGCGGCCAUAACGCAUUCCCCCGACAGAGCUCACCGCAUGCAUCUUAGUCCAAUGGAAAACUUUAUUGUUUCUCGACUGCUGACUCCCACACAGUCAUCUUUAGCCAGAAGCAGAAGUACAUUAAUGCUUUCUGAGCAGUACAAUACUCCAGUAUUCCAUAUCUGUCCUCGUGUAGCACCAGCUAGUCCUCUUAAAUCUCCCUACAAGCCUUCCCCCACCCGAAGCACUGACAGGAAGAAGGCAACUUCACCCUCCACUGCCAAUGCCAUGAAAGGGGCACCUGCAGCUGAAGUUACUCAGACUGAGAAGAUAAAGAAGGAGAAGCGGCCUGCAACACCUGGUUCAUCUUCUGGUAUGGGAUCUCCUCUGAGAAGGUCUGAUUCUCCUGCUGCCAUGUCCAGAAGAUCUGCAUCGCCUGCAACACCUAAGACUGUUGCAAAGACUUAUCCUCAGUCUCCUAAAAACACCAAACAAUAUCCAGCUUCUCCUGUGAAGCAUCGUGCCACUUCCAAUAGCAGCCAGGAAACACCUAAAAAGAAAGCAGACAAGGAGAAAGAAAAUGUCAGUCACCUGAAGUCCCCAGGAGCACGCACUGAUGACGUGGGCCAGGUGGCUCCUGAGAAGCACAUGCCUUCUGCUGGAAAGGCUGAGAACAGUGAAGGGAAGAUCACAGCAGGAACAAGUGAUGCAGAAGAAGCUGCAAAAAUUCUAGCUGAAAAAAGACGACAGGCACGCCUGCAAAAAGAACAAGAGGAAAAGGAGAAACAGGAAAGAGAAGAACGAGAAAGGCUUGAGAGAGAAGAGCAGAAAAGAAAGGCAGAAGAAGAAAGACUUCGUCUGGAAGAAGAAGCUCGUAAGAAGGAGGAGGAAAGAAAACGUGAAGAGGAGGCAGCUAGAAAAAAGGCAGAAGAGGAAGCCAGAAGAAGAGCUGAGGAAGAACAAAUGCUAAAGGAAAAGCAAGAAAAAGAGCUCCAAGCCAAGCUUGAGAAACAGAGGGAAGAAGCAGAAAUCAAAGCCCGUGAGGCAGCUGAACAGCUUCGUCUUGAAAGGGAGCAAAUCAUGCAGCAAAUUGAGCAAGAAAGGCUGGAGCGGAAGAAGAGAAUAGAUGAAAUAAUGAAGAGAACAAGGAAGAGUGAAACCCCAGAAACAAAGAAGGAAGAGCCAAAACUGGAGAUCCCCUCAACUUUGAAUGUGGAAAAGCAACCAAAGGCCCUUGUUCUCAACCAGCCAGAGAUCAAUGGAUUGGCAACCUGCCUGAAAAAUAAAAGCUUAGAAAGUGCUGCUUCUGUCAUCCCUUCCCAAGAUGUAGUUGCUAAUGGACUGAAGUCAGUUUCAGGACUUAUUCAGCUGGAAGCUGUUGAUGGGAAAUCUAACAGCAUGGAAGAUUCAACAGAUGAGGUUCAGUCCAUGGAUGUGAGCCCGGUUUCAAAAGAAGAACUUAUCUCUAUCCCUGAAUACUCACCCAUGAAUGAACUCAUGCCUGGUGUUUCUUUGGACCAAAAUGGGACAAGUAAUGCCAAGGCUCUUGAAGACCUCUUGGAUUUCACAGGCCAAGCUACCUACUCCAAGAUGUCCAGUGAUACCCUUAGCCUAGAUGACUGUAACAAAAACUUGAUUGAGGGAUUUAACAGCCCAGGACAAGAAAAUACACUUAAUUCUAUCUGUUGACAGCCUUGCUUUUCAGCAGAACAGAUAGAGGUACAGUAUUGUGAUAAACAUCUUAUGAUAAAUUGCUGUGAUUACUUCCCAGCUUCCAGCAUUUGUACAUGGCAGUGUGGGGAGAGAAAGAAAGCUGUUCUCCUAGGUAUUUAAAUUCAACAUAAUCUUUGAGAUUUGCAGCUGCCUGUGAAUUGGCAUCAUAUGCAAACUGAUUGUAUCAUAGCAACCAUAAGUAUCUGGUAAAUGGAAACAUUUCAUUUAGGCAUCCAGAAUUUCUUCAUUAAUACAAUACUUUCCCUGUAUGUCUUUGGAGCCUAUUUGCAUGAAGAAAACAGUUAAAAGUGGGGCCAGUCUAGGCCAUGGUACUUCUUGCUGCUGCUUACUCUUUUCUCUGCUGCUGUAAAACUUGCAGUGUAGAAUGCCCUGAAAAGCCAGCAUAGUAAAAACCCAUAGUGGGCUUCAGUCACAGUUUCAAAGUACAAAAUCGUGGGUCAGGUUUUUUGGAAGAGUAUAUUCUCUAAAUAGCAAAACUGAGGUCAUCAAACCUGUGUAGCUGACUUGAUAUUCUCUCUCUUUUUGAUUGACAGAGGUAACCAUUUCUGGAGGAUAUAUAUCCCUGUGAUGCUACUGGCAGUAAAAUAUGAACUUGUCACUUGAAAAAGCUUCUGCAGUCCUUGAACACUGGAUUUCAAAUAAUCAGAGCUGAAUAUACCUUGUCUUCCCAGGGAAUAUGUUGAAUAAUUGGCUGCUUUUGGUAGAAACCAAUGAUCUAGAGCCUUGAUUUUCAGGGAAGACAGAGCGUGCAUUAGAAUUUGAGCUUUAGCUGCUAAUAAAGCACUUAUUUCUUCUUUAAUUUAAAAUUCAUCUCAACACUUCACUGUGAUUUUUACCUGUGCAUUUUAUUUUUAAAUAAUUCCUUCCUAAGCUUGAUCAUACAUCCAUUUAGACAUCUUUUUCUUGUAAAUAAUGAUGGGGUUUGUCCACAGUGCAUUGAAACAAAAUAAUAUACUGUACUUUAGCUUUGUGCCUAUCUUUUUUUGUCUUUAAUAAGGAGUUAUUGGCAACUUUUAUGAGGUGUGUAAUUCAAAACUGUAGCUGAAGAGGCUUGAAAAACAUAUAGCUGCUGGAAUCAAAAGAGCCUUCUUAUUGACUGUGGAGUGGGGGAACUAUCCCUUUAUGAUUAUGUUGACACUUCUAGUCACUAGUGGCACUUACCAGUUAAUAUUAAUUAGUCUGGGAGCAACUAUCAACUGUGUUUGAAAUCAUAUUUGUGUAACACUUGUAAGCAAAUUAGGCAAAAUGCCAAGUAUAACCCCUUAAUAUAUGUGUAGUAUAGCUGUAGUAGAUCCGAGUGAGUGAUCAGGAGGGUGACACAUUAACCUUUGAAUAUGCAGACACUUGAUUGAUACCAGCAGGCUUUCUAUCACACAGAGAAGUAUUUUGUCUUCCUGUAGGCUCAACAAAAUGGGAUUUGGUCAGCAGCAAAACAAUAUGUGAGUGUCAGAAACACAAAGGCCAAAAUGCACGUCGGGAACACUGGGCGCCCUUAACGUUCUGUAAACAUCUCUAUGGAACAGCCCACGUCGAGGUGUACGAGGUCAGGACGUCAUGUGCUGCACAGUGCUAACUUUCUUUCUCUUGGUGAACCUUUAUGCUAGAUCAGGUGCUGCUUUGAUGACAUUUUGUCCAGUCCCUUAUAAGAAUAAAUUAUAAAUACAACUCUAUUUGGACACUAACACAAAAGAUAUGAAAACUUGGGAUGGGGGGGGGUGUUUGGCUUUUUUUUCCUUCUUUUUUUUCCAUGUGUAAGAGUUCACAGCAUAGAUUGACCUCAGUUGUAGCACCAUUCUUGUGCUCUUAAAAGUCAGCAGUGGGAAAGUAACCAGUGACAUGAUGUGCAAUGGCUAAAAAAAAAUCAUACCUACAACAACCCAGCUCUAUUUAUGUUAGUGUACUUCAAAGAAAUACUUUCUUUUGACUGUGCAGUAAGCUGUAGCAUGGUACUGUGUCUUCCAAAUUAGUCCUUCAUCUAUUUCCUAAAUAAUAAACAAACAGAAACAGUUUGUUUUGCUGUAAUACACUGUGUUUGACAAAUGUCAUAUUAUAUUUUACUAUGGUGUCAUUGUAUAACCUGUAGAUUUCUGUAUUUGCAUGACCUGUAUAGCAUGUAUAAAGGUGAAAUACAUUUUCAUUUAUGAAUCUGA